CCUACGGGUGGCUGCAGUGGGGAAUAUUGGACAAUGGACCAAAAGUCUGAUCCAGCAAUUCUGUGUGCACGAUGAAGUUUUUCGGAAUGUAAAGUGCUUUCAGUUGGGAAGAAGAAAGUUACGGUACCAACAGAAGAAGUGACGGCUAAAUACGUGCCAGCAGCCGCGGUAAUACGUAUGUCACAAGCGUUAUCCGGAUUUAUUGGGCGUAAAGCGCGUCUAGGCGGUUAAUUAAGUCUGAUGUGAAAAUGCGGAGCUCAACUCCGUAUUGCGUUGGAAACUGGUUAACUAGAGUACUGGAGAGGUAAGCGGAACUACAAGUGUAGAGGUGAAAUUCGUAGAUAUUUGUAGGAAUGCCGAUGGGGAAGCCAGCUUACUGGACAGAUACUGACGCUAAAGCGCGAAAGCGUGGGUAGCAAACAGGAUUAGAUACCCCGGUAGUC
rnacentral:rRNA from 1 species